GCGCUCCCAGGGCCAGACCCGCCUGUGAACCAGCCCCGACCCCCCCAUCCCGGCCGUAAUGAAGCGGUGCCGCUUUUAAGCGGGCCCAAGACAGGCAACGGAGACGCCUGAAGCGCCGGAGAGGCUGCGGAGGACGUGACGGGGCAGGACAGCCGGGCUGGCCACAAGGCUAGCGACACCAGCGGAGAGGCCCGCGGUGGAGGCCUCCCCGCAUCGGCCCGCCCUACUCGCCUCAGGAAGCCGCGUCAAGACGCGGCGGUGGCUCCACCCGCGGUGGAGGCGUCUCCGACGAAAAGGCCGGCGCAAAACCCCCAGCUCCAGGUCCGUUCGUCGUCCCCCACCCCCCGGCACCGGGGCGGGAAGCGGAGCCGCGCUGGCUGAGGGACAGCCUCCGCCACGAGGGGGAGGGGACACCGCCCGCCCCGCCGCUCCCCUCGCCCGCCCCGGCGCCCCCAGAGGCGGGCGGUCGCCGAUUGCUCGCCCGCCGCCCCUCGCCCUGACGAGGCGGCGCUCCCCUCCCCGCGGCGCAGGCCUAGGCCGCCGGCAGGCGGGCGGGCCGGGGCGAUACCUGCGCUGGAAGUCCGUCUUGAAGGGGGCCAGUGUGUCUGUUGCCGGGUGAACUCUGCGUUCCCACACACAAAAACCCCACACCACAGCCGCUCUCACCCCAGCAGAUUUGGUGUCAUCGUGAAUGCUGGAAUAAAUUUCUCGUCUGUUUGAUAGGGUGCUGGCGUGCUCACAGACAAGCUCAGCAAAACAAGACUCUGGGGACAUCCAUGAGUUCUCAUAAACACCAUGUCUGAGAAGCAAAAUGUCUCUUUACAGGACACAUUAAAAAAUCCUAAACAAAGUAAGAUUAGUUCAGCUGAUCCUGAAGCAGCUCUAAAUGCUGAAUAGCACAGCUGUCUCCUCAGUUACUCCUGUGUUCUCAUCUGUUUCAACACAUGCACAAGAAAAACUCACAAAGGUUUCCAUCCUGGGAGCUGAGUCAUCCUCUAAAUCAGGACCAUCAUCCUUGGAACACAAAAUCUUCUGCAGAACUUAAGGGCAAGUAAUACCUAUGUGAUUUUGGAUAGGAUGUUUUAGCUUCUCUUACUUUAAAUAACUUGUGUGUCUGAUUGAAAAGCAAAUAUAAGCAGUUUCCACCAAAAAUUUCAUAUGUAUUCAUACCGUAUGUGUUAUCUAAUGCCAAAAACUUUGUUGUCCUUCUCAGUUCUUUGUUCUAUUUCCUUUAUUUUUUAAUUGACAUUUCAAAAUACACUUCACUGGUUUGGAUUUUUGUACAUACAUCUAAUUUCUGUGAACUAUGACUACUUUCCUGUCAUCCAGGAAACCCCCAAUGCUCAAGAAACAUAACCUCCUGUACAAUCACAUUGCUAUUCCAAUCAUACCAUGGAAAGACGCUCAUGAUGAAUACCAAUCUGUCUUAAGUCAUCUGAUAUACCUAACAUUUGAAAGGGCUGAUUAAUGAGGACCUAUAUUAGACAUCCUGAAAGUGAGGAAAAAGCAAGACCAGCCAUUUCUUUCUUAUCCUUUUCUUAGCAGUAUAAAAUAAACAUACACAUUCUUCGUAUUUUUAAAUGAACAGACUUUCUUCUAAUCUUGUCUCAGUAUACACUAGUAGGUUCAAACCACUCUAGCACUACUACAAGUUUUUAACACUAUGACUUUUCCUAUGAAUGUCCAAAUUGCUGGGUUAUUUGCAGCGCUGAGUAAGAUUUGCAUGAAGACUUCUGAAGAAUUCUGUGUUUGAGUUGUGUUACAUUGCUUGAAAUAAAGCUGAUUUCUCCACUAUAGUUCUUUUCAUGUUUUAGGAUUUUUUUAUGCUUGCUCUGUUUUUAUGUAUAAAUUUGAAAUCGCCAAAAUAAUACUCUUCUUUGGCUUUUUCCUUGCCUUGUUUACUUGUAUAUUUAUCUUCUCCCUAUCACUUGUCCAGCUUUUUUUUUUGUUUAAUGUGGUGGUGGUUUGGUUUUUGGGUUUUUUUCUCUUUAUUUUACAGUAAGUCAUGUGUCAUUGGUAUUCUUAAGGAAUUUAAAGUUACAUAGAAGAAAACUGAGCUACAUGCCAAUGGAUAAGGCUUUAUGGUUUCUCAAUGAUCUCAUUGCAUGUUGGUGAAAGGACAGGACUGUGGCCUGUGAAAUGCAAGACUCAUCAAAGUAUUUCCCUGGUUGUUUUAAAGAGUUGGACAAGGAGUCAUUCCUUUUCUGUAAAAUGAAGCAUGGGUAUUCAUAACUGUAAAAGAAAAAAACAACAAUACAAAAAAACAGAAGAAUCACUGCCAUAUGUUGUUUCUCAUUUUUCUAAUUUCCUUUCUGUAGAAUAAAGCAUGGAUAUUCAUAUGAAUAAAAAAAGAACAAUAAUAAAAACUA